rfam:Oryza barthii chromosome 5, whole genome shotgun sequence.
AAAAACUCAAUUCCUGGGUUUUUUUUGUCUAACGUUUGACCGCUCGUUUUAUUUGAAAAAGAUAUGAAACAAUUUAAAAAGAUAAGUCAUGCAUAAACUAUUAUUCAUGUUUUAUCAUCUAACAAUAAUGAAAAUACUAAUCAUAAAAAUAUUUCAUAUAAUACAGACGGUUAAACGUUGAGCACUAAAACCCAGGAAUUGAGUCUUU